GAUGAACGCUGGCGGCGUGCCUAAUACAUGCAAGUCGAGCGAACGGACGAGAAGCUUGCUUUCCCGAUGUCAUCAGCGGACGGGAGAGUCACAUGUGGUUAACCUACCUCUACGACUGGGAUAACUUCGGGAAACCGGAGCUAAUACCGGAUAAUAUUUUGCACUGCAUUGUUCAAAAGUGAAAGACGGUCUUGCUGUCACUUAUAGAUGGAUACGCGCUGCAUUAGCAGGUUGGGAAGGUAACGGCUUACCAAGGCAACGAUGCAUAGCCGACCUGAGAGGGGAAGAGGCCAAGCUGGUACUGAGACACGGUCCGGACCACUACGGGAGGCAGACGUAGGGAACCCUCCCGGAUGGGCGAAAUCCUGACGAAGCAACGCCGCGUGAGUGAUUGAUCUAUUAGGAUCGUGAGAGUCUGUUAUGAGGGAAGAUUAUAUGUGUAAGUAACUGUGCAUAACAAGACGGUAACUGAUCAGAUAGGCACGGCUAACUACGUG
rnacentral:rRNA from 1 species